rnacentral:lncRNA from 1 species
UUCAGGACAGUUUGUUGAUAGUUGAUUAAGACGAGAAUUAAUCUCAGAGUUGCAUCCUAGAAAGUAAGGGUUCGUAGCCUUACAUCUUCUUAGUCAGUUGGGGGUCCACGUGUCAUUGUAAAAGUAAUUUUAUUCUUCAGUUAUUUGAUUUAAAGUAUGUAUGAAUAUAUUUAGCUUUUACACCAUAUUUUUGGCGAGUUUCGGUAUUUUCGAAGAAAAAUGACGAAAAUGCCCCUGUGAGCCAAAAAGUAAUAUUUUAUUAUUUUGAUUUGGAAAUGACUUAUAAUUUCUUGAAAUGUGAGAUUUAAUAACUGUUGCUCACCGGGGAGAUGCGGAAGCUGAUGCUAAGCCUUGCGGGGUUUCGAUCAGCAUUCGGGAUAAUGGUGCCUAUCGGGACGUCGCGGCGGUUGUUACGGGCUCGAUGGGAGUUCCGAGUCGUGACAAUUAAAGUGGUAUCAGAGCAUGGUUUAAAGAUCAAAGAUUUUGAUUUUAAAGCUUUGAAUUUUAAAGUUUUCGAUUUUAAAGUUGUUUUAAGAAAUCCACACUGACAUUGCAUGGCCAUGAGUUAGGUUAAAUCAAGUUUGAUUGAAUAGGAUGAGAUAAAUUUGAAAGUAUCUAUUUUACUUAUUAUAUGUGAUAAGCACAAGAGGAUAUAAAUGGUUAUGGAAAUUGUGAUGUAAGCUUGAAGGAAAACCAAACGGUUGAGAAUGAUUAGUGUAGUAACCUUAAAUAUAGAUGAAUAACAUUGAUCAAGUAAACUCAAAUAGCCAUCGUGCUGCGGUGCUAAGAACACUUCAUGUCUAGGACGCAUGAAUAAAAUGAGACAGAUGUGAAGUUGAAUUCACGAGUUGACCUAAGGUCAUUGAACUUGAUUCUAAGUUUUGGUAAUUGGAGUUUUAAGGUUUUGGCAGGUAUCGAUAUGAAUGAGUUAAAGGCGUUCCCUUCGGGGGAAGUAAAAGGUCUGAGGUUCGAUACUUGGUGUAUGCGGUCUUGUAGGGUCGGGAAGCCAAGGGGAUCGAUACAGAUAUAACAAUACUUUGGAGUGGGCCCCGAAAAGAAUGCCAUAUAAAUGGUUAAGUUACGGGUUAAGUGAUUGCAUGUUGUGAGACAUAAGUUUAAGAUAGAUAUCCCUAAAGAAAUACUCAAGAGAAGUUCUGCUGUGGAUCUUGUAAAAGCAAGCACUAAGUUAUGUGAUUAUAAAAAGGAAGCUAUAAGCUGAGAGUGAUAUUAGUAUUAAUAUUGAAAAGUACUUGAGGAGAAUCUAGUUUUAAGUCUUGCAAUUUCAAGUACAAUUUGUAAAUUGGUUAAGGAAGAAUGUUGUUAUAUUCGUAUGAAAUAGUGGAACUUUAUUAAGGAAACGUAUGGAAAAGCAUAAGAGAAUAUAUUAGUUUGACUUACUAUAAGAGGGCAAAAGUUGGAUGGCCAUGAGUGGCUUGUAGGUAACGCAAGAAUGUAUAGGUAAGUGUGCAAGGGAGCUAUGAACGAUAGAUAAGGGUAGAACUUUAAUGAUGAGACAGUGUUCUCUGCGUUAAACCUUGAACUAUAAAAUAUGGAUAUGUAUCCACCUUAUGAAUACUCUGAUGUGAUAAAUUCGAAAGACUUUUCGCAAUGAGAAAACAUUAAAGCUUAAAGAGCAAAUGGCUAUACAGUCAAGUUAGACUCAUGACUGACAUGUCACAUAAGUAUGAGGAUGGGAUACAAAGUAAUAUAAAGGCAUGAAAGAUGAUUGAGGAUAAAGGGAUGACUCUGAGGAAUUGUGAUACUGCAUCGUAUUCAAUGAUCAAAUCAAGGUAGAUCUUGAAAGCAUAAAUGGGAUUAUAAGGCAUAUACACAUAUGUGGGGUUGAUAUUGUGCUCAACUAAAAUGAAGAAUGAUUUUUAGUGAAUUAAGAUUCAAAUUUAAUAUAUGAUGAGUGAUGUAGGUAGUACAAUGAUAAGAAAUUUUAUCAGAAAUUGAUCUAUGUGAACAUAAGAGAUUGUUGGAAAUAGUCAAGGAGAUAAUAUCAAGGAAAUAUGAUCUAUAGCAUGGUUAAGCAGUACGAGAUGGAUUAAUAUGAUUAAGAGGAUUGAUAUUUUAUACUUGUGAGAUAAACAGGAAGUAUGUGAAAAUAAUGGAAGAAAAUACCCCACAUUUUCUUUGAGUUGAUAAGUGAAAUUUUGAUGACAAAAUUUUAUUUUAAGAGGGGUACUGUUGUCAAACCCUGUUCUAUAAAAUAAUUACGACGUCAUUUACAUGCUCAAUCGAAUGUUUGCAUAUUUAGGAAUUUCGAGAAAUCGUUAAAAGACGAUAUUGCCCUUAAUGGUACCAUUAAGUCGAUUAAGCCUCGAACUAGUUCAAAUAGGAAUUUUAAGGUGAAAUUAAGAGUUUCACAGUUCAGGAUGACUCAAAAUGGUAAUUCGGAGUUCGAGGAUCAAUUCGAAGUCAAACCAGAAUUUUCACUAUCUAGGGGUAAAAUGCUCAUUUACCACUUAGGGACAAAAUGUGAAUUUUUAGAAAAGAAUUUCUGACCCCAUUUAACUUAUUGCAGUAUGAUUUGAGUAUUGGAGUAUAAUUUGAGGGUUUGGCAGUGAAAAAGUUUAAUUCCGGUCAUUUCUGGAGUGUAGGGGUAAAAUCGUAAUUUUUCCACCCGAGGACAAAAUUUAAGAUUUUGAGAGAAUUUAGAUCACAUUUUAAAAAUUGGAGAAUGGUAUGAGUAUAAGGGAUGAAAAAUAUGUCUAUGGGCAAUUUUUCAGUUUUUGGGGCAAAAAUGUAAUUUUUGACUUUUACGGGGGCAAAAGUGUAAAUUUCAAAAAUUACUCCACCAAGACUUUGGAUAAGUCUGAGAAUUUUAUCUAAGUUAUGGAUAUGUGGGACAAGUAUAUGGUGAAAAUUUGGAAACAAAUGGAUGGCUAGAAUUUAAGAAAUUAAUAAAACAAAAAAAAAGAAUAAAAUAAUAUUAUAUUAUUUAGCCUUUAAAAAGGCCAAAAUUUCCAGAAUCCUCAUCUUCUUCAAGCUGUCCAAACCAAGAGAGAAAAGGGGGAAAAGAAAUAAGAACCCUAGCUGAAAAAUUUGGGGAAAAUCAAGAGAAAUCAAGAAAUCAAGCAUUAAAAAAGUAAAUUUCAUUGAUUUUCCUUGUGAUUUUCACUACCCAUGCAUUUUUUUUCUCAUUUCCAUGCAAAAUUAGAAACUGGGUAUGGACACCCAUGCUUGCCAUACCUCCAUGGAUGAGUUUUGAGCUUGAGUUUUUGUUGAUUUUAAUUGAAUUAAGUGAUUUUAGUUAGGUUAUAUUGAAAUAUAGCAAAAAUAAGCUAGAGAAAUAAUUUUCUCCCAUUGAAACCCAUUAUGCUGAAUUUUCUAGGGGAAUAUUGGCUACUGAUCUUGAUGUUUAUUUGAAGAAUUAUGAUGAAUAAUGAUGAAUUAUGAGCCUAGAAAAUAAUGAGAAUUUUCGGAGCAAAAAUAUGAAUUUUUACCCACUAGGGGUAUUUUUGUAAUUUGUUGUUGGGACUGAUAAAUUACACCACACUGAGGGACAUUAAGUCAAUUUGGGUGCAAUUGAGGAAUAUAAACUGAAAAAAAAUUAAUUUGGAGUUUAAACGGACUCGUAUAUCGAUUUGAUCGGGUAAUUGGCCGAAUUAGAUCAGCACCGCAUUUAAGCGGUAGUCGGAUAAGUUGCAUAUCAUAUCAUGCAUAUAUACCGAGCCUGAAUUGAUUUUAUAAUGGUCAAGCAUUGAUGUGGUGAAUUAUGUAUUGUACAUUGUGGAUAGGUGGUGAGCAAAUUACACUAGUAAAAGUACAGAGAUUGUGCUUGAAGAUUGGGAUUAUGAGUACAUCGACUCCUAGAAUUGUGAGUGGACAAUUUAUCGUCUUAAGUAUCUAGAGUAAUUAUACUUGUUUGAUGCUUUUAUUGAAUGGUGAGUUUAAAUUAUAAAAUAUUAUGUUUUCCAAUUAAAAUGUUUUUUAAUAAAAAUGAGAUUUAUACUGGUUUUGAAAUCAAAUAUUGUUUUGGGAAAAUUGAGUAUAUGGAGACUGUGUUGAAAUUUAUGAUUUUAUAUGUUAUUGAAAUUGGGUCUUAUGACACUAUGGUAGCAUGAUGGCUAAAUUUUUGGGGUUGACAUGAAAUAUAUGAACAGUUUUGGAUUGGUCUCGAUAGACUGGAUUAAAUUUUAUUCGUCAUAUUAUGCUACUGGAAAUUUUAUGGGUCUGGUGGUACAUUAAACGGUCACUACAGUGGUGGGGGUUUUCGUGGACUGCUUAUGAGAGGGGCACGGUAACCCAAUUAUAUACUUACCUCCGGGGGGAGAUGUUGGGUGAAGUAUCUCUUGAGGUAUGAUUUGAGUGCACCUCACGUUCGAGCCACCACGUGAGAGUGAGACUCAGCCAACGCCAAGGAACUACUGUGUGUCAGAUGCGAAAACAUGUUUAUGGGUGUGGGUCAUUUAACAGCCUUGGUGGUCUUAGUGGGAUACCUUGACGAAGGUACCCACGAGAAUAAUUCUGGCAGGGGCCAAGUUUAAGAAAUUCAUAAGUCGGGAAAUUUUGAUGAAAAGAAAUUGUUUGGUAUAGAUUGAAACGAAUUUUGCAUUAUGAACAUUAUUGAGAUAUAAUGUUUUUAUAUUAUCUCCAGCUACUCGGCUUUAGAUGCUUUUGAUGAUAAUUGUUUACUCAUUGGGAUUAUGUAAUCAUAAUCUCACCCCUCUUCCUAUCCAUUUUUCAGGCUCAGGACAGUUUGUUGAUAGUUGAUUAAGACAAGAAUUAAUCUUGGAGUUGCAUCCUAGAAAGUAAGGGUUCAUAGCCCUACAUCUUCUUAGUCAGUUGGGGGCCCACGUGUCACUGUAAAAGUAAUUUUAUUAUUCAGUUAUUUGAUUUAAAGUAUGUAUGAAUAUAUUAAGCUUUUACACCAUAUUUUUGGCGAGUUUCGGUAUUUUUGAAGAAAAAUGACGAAAAUGCCCCUGUGAGGCAGAAAGUAAUAUUUUAUUGUUUUGAUUUGGAAAUGACUUAUAAUUUCUUGAAAUGUGAGAUUUAAUAACUGUCGCUCACCGGGGAGAUGCGAAAGCUGAUGCUAAGCCUUG